GUUGGAGGUGGAGGGUUCUUGUGGCUGCAAAUGUGGGGGUCAUGGGAGCCAUGGACCUAUGGGACUAGGAGGAGGCCUGGAGACUCUGACUUCUGCAGCGGGAUACUCCUGAGCCAGAAGCUCUGAUCCGGUCCCUCGUCAGAGUCAGACAAGAGCCAAACCCUGUUCUCCAAGCAUGGCAUGAUGGGAGGGGAGAAAACAGGUUCUCCCAGAUUUGGAUCUCCUGUUGAGGACCACAGAGGAUUUCAUGGUGGCCUCAUCACCCUGUUGCUGGUGUGAAGGUGUGUGUGUGCGUGCAUGUGUGAUGAACAAAGGAGGAGCACGUGACCUCAGUCAAUCCAAUGGGAGUCGGUUUUGGAACGUAAGCCAUAAAGACUGGGAAAGUGGCUCUCCCUUGGUUGCCAUCCUUGCUGCAGCAUGGACAUGGUCAUGGUCAGCUAAGAAGGAAGCCCACACAGAAGGAAACAGUCAAGGGAAGGAGAGAAAAUCCGAUGCCAUCAUCAAGUCCCUCAUCUGGCUAUACCAAAGCCAAAUAAACAUCCCAAACCUCCCAAUUAUGUAAGCAAAUAAAUGCUAUUUCAUGCUUA
ensembl:lncRNA